rnacentral:rRNA from 1 species
AAUAGAUACCCUGGUAGUCCAUGCCGUAAACGAUGUCUACUAGCCGUUGGGGCCUUUGAGGCUUUAGUGGCGCAGCUAACGCGAUAAGUAGACCGCCUGGGGAGUACGGUCGCAAGACUAAAACUCAAAUGAAUUGACGGGGGCCCGCACAAGCGGUGGAGCAUGUGGUUUAAUUCGAUGCAACGCGAAGAACCUUACCUGGCCUUGACAUACUAGAAACUUUCCAGAGAUGGAUUGGUGCCUUCGGGAAUCUAGAUACAGGUGCUGCAUGGCUGUCGUCAGCUCGUGUCGUGAGAUGUUGGGUUAAGUCCCGCAACGAGCGCAACCCUUUUCCUACUUGCCAGCAUUUCGGAUGGGAACUUUAAGGAUACUGCCAGUGACAAACUGGAGGAAGGCGGGGACGACGUCAAGUCAUCAUGGCCCUUACGGCCAGGGCUACACACGUGCUACAAUGGUCGGUACAAAGGGUUGCUACACAGCGAUGUGAUGCUAAUCUCAAAAAGCCGAUCGUAGUCCGGAUUGG